AUAUACCCUAAACUCCAAAUUCUAAAUCCUAACUCUAUAUACUUGAACUUAUAACUUUAAGUCAUAUAAAUUAAGUCACAAAUCCUUUUAGCAAACCUUAACUUUAAACAUGUACAUGAAACCAUAUACCCUAAACUCUAAAUCAUAAAUUAUGUGUUAAUCUUUAAAAAGUUAUCAUACAAUUUUAAAUAUUAAACUAUUACACCAACAGAUAACCAUUGAUUACGAAUAUUUUCAUUAAAAAAAACAUAUAACCAUUGAAUACGUACACAAAAUUAAUCUAUCUCUAUCAAGCAAAUCAAUUAAUUAAACUACCAAACCAAAACUUAAACAAACUAAAUAACCAUGUUUUGGUUUUGGCUCCAAAUUAUUUGGAAUUGACAUUAAAUAUUUUAGGUUUCCCACGUCAAAAAAAAAAGGGUUUUCCACGUUUUGAGAAUAUACUCUAUCUCAUAACCCUAUUAAACUCUUAUUUGGUGUAGCCUCCAUCAACUAUUUUCUCUCUUUCUCUAGCAAAUCAACAAUCGUUUCAGAUUCUUCCUUUUUAUUCAGUUCAUCCUUUUGAUUAUAACUCCCUCUUAUGUUCUUCUCCUUGAACAUCUCUUUCUUUAUUUUUAUAUCUCUGCGAUUUUAAGGAUUCAGAUUUCAAAGCUCUUUUCACUCACUAAUGGUCGAAACUUUUACCCUACUGCCUCUCAACGACUCCAAGGAUCUGUAAUGCCAAUGGAAUUUACUAGUCGAUAUGCAGAUACAGCCACUACUUUGUAGUAGAUCUGACCACUCCAGUGUUAAAGGCUUUCAUCGGGAGUAUAUGAACAGCCAAUGAUGAUGGCGGAGGUGUAGACAAGGGCGGAAGGAGAAGGAGGUAGUGGUGUAGGAGACCAGGAGUAUAAGAAUCUCGCUUGGUUGCUGUGGUUUGAGUCCUUUGACGGAGGCAAAGGAGGUGGUGGUGUAGGAGACCAGUUUACCCUAAUUUGCUUUGCUUUGGUCUGUAUCAUAAUUGGUUUCUAGUACCAGCUUAAUUUUUGUAACCAGUUAACCCAUAUGUAGUUCGGGUUGUCAAUAAAAUAUAUUCUAAUUACAAA